UACGUAGGGUCCGAGCGUUGUCCGGAAUUAUUGGGCGUAAAGAGCUCGUAGGCGGUGUGUCGCGUCGGCCGUGAAAACCUGGGGCUUAACUCUGGGCGUGCGGUCGAUACGGGCAUCACUGGAGUUCGGCAGGGGGAGACUGGAAUUCCUGGUGUAGCGGUGGAAUGCGCAGAUAUCAGGAGGAACACCGGUGGCGAAGGCGGGUCUCUGGGCCGAUGACUGACGCUGAGGAGCGAAAGCGUGGGGAGCGAACAGG
rnacentral:rRNA from 1 species